AUUGAACGCUGGCGGCAUGCUUUACACAUGCAAGUCGAACGGUAACAGGGAGCUUGCUCCGCUGACGAGUGGCGAACGGGUGAGUAAUGCAUCGGAACGUACCCAGUCGUGGGGGAUAACGUAGCGAAAGUUACGCUAAUACCGCAUACGUCCUGAGGGAGAAAGCGGGGGACCGAAAGGCCUCGCGCGAUUGGAGCGGCCGAUGUCGGAUUAGCUAGUUGGUAGGGUAAAGGCCUACCAAGGCAACGAUCCGUAGCGGGUCUGAGAGGAUGAUCCGCCACACUGGGACUGAGACACGGCCCAGACUCCUACGGGAGGCAGCAGUGGGGAAUUUUGGACAAUGGGCGAAAGCCUGAUCCAGCCAUGCCGCGUGAGUGAAGAAGGCCUUCGGGUUGUAAAGCUCUUUCAGGUGGAAAGAAAACGCAUAGGUUAAUACCUUGUGCGGAUGACGGUACCAUCAGAAGAAGCACCGGCUAACUACGUG
rnacentral:rRNA from 1 species